AGUGAACGCUGGCGGCAGGCCUAACACAUGCAAGUCGAACGGCAGCACAAGAGAGCUUGCUCUCUGGGUGGCGAGUGGCGGACGGGUGAGGAAUGCAUCGGAAUCUGCCCAUUUGUGGGGGAUAACCUCGGGAAACCGGGACUAAUACCGCAUACGACCUACGGGUGAAAGCAGGGGAUCUUCGGACCUUGCGCAGAUGGAUGAGCCGAUGCCGGAUUAGCUAGUUGGAGGGGUAAAGGCCCACCAAGGCGACGAUCCGUAGCUGGUCUGAGAGGAUGAUCAGCCACACUGGGACUGAGACACGGCCCAGACUCCUACGGGAGGCAGCAGUGGGGAAUAUUGGACAAUGGGCGCAAGCCUGAUCCAGCCAUGCCGCGUGUGUGAAGAAGGCCUUCGAGUUGUAAAGCACUUUUGUUGGGAAAGAAAAGCAGCCGGUUAAUACCCGGUUGUCAUGACGGUACCCAAAGAAUAAGCAUCGGCUAACUUCGUG
rnacentral:rRNA from 1 species